AGAAAAUGAAGGAGAGGCUGAAGCACCCACUGCACACAGACACCAAGACAGAUUGCAUUCGAAGUUUCGAGAACUCUUUCUGUAUUUGAUGCACUGAGCAUGAUUCGCAACUCACCAGAAGAUCACUCAAAGAUGGAGAAGACAACAACCUUAUUUAAGGCCUGAAAAUCACCUGAAAAAAACUUUGGGUCCAAAAAUACAUCAUUAUUUGUUAAAAGCAAGUAACACAGACUUCGGAGCUAGACAAAUCUGGUGUGAAACUUGGAUCCAGUAUUAACAACAUAACCUCAGACAUUUCAAAAGUUAUCAGCAAGAGAAUCUUCAAGCAGACUCCCUGCUCAGUGGGCAGCUCGACGUGGAGCUCAGUCCCAGGACCCCAAGAUCACGACCCGAGCUCCCGUCAGAUCGUCACC